GCCCUUCGUUUCCUGAUUUUGGGCUGUUACAAAAACACUCAACCUCCUCUCUCUCUCUCUCUCCCUCUCUCUCUCUCUUGAUCUCGGCCGCUGCGUGUUUCUUCCGUCCGCUCGGGCAGCAAUUCAAGCGAGAAUCAUUGUGCUCUACUGGUUCAUACAAGGAGAUCACACCUGGAUCUCAGUGGUGGAUCAACUCCUUCUCUGAUUCCAUCACCGGAGGCUCGUUUCGUCUCCCAAAAUGCCUCUCAGACUGGAAAUCAAGAGAAAACUUGCUCAAAGAUCAGAAAGAGUGAAGUCUGUCGAUCUGCAUCCAACAGAGCCAUGGAUUCUGGCUAGUUUGUAUUCUGGGACUGUUUGCAUAUGGAACUACCAGUCUCAGACUAUGGUGACAUCUUUUGAGGUCACUGAAUUACCAGUUAGGUCUGCAAAGUUCAUUGCACGAAAGCAAUGGGUUGUUGCUGGUGCUGAUGACAUGUUUAUUCGUGUAUACAAUUACAAUACAAUGGAUAAGAUAAAAGUAUUUGAGGCGCACACAGAUUAUAUUAGGUGUGUGGCUGUUCAUCCCAACCUUCCAUAUGUGCUGUCAUCAUCUGAUGACAUGCUUAUAAAGCUUUGGGAUUGGGACAAGGGCUGGGUGUGUACUCAGAUUUUUGAGGGUCAUUCUCAUUACGUCAUGCAAGUUACAUUUAAUCCGAAGGAUACCAACACAUUUGCUAGUGCUUCUCUUGAUCGCACUAUAAAGAUAUGGAAUCUUGGCUCCCCUGACCCAAAUUUUACAUUAGAUGCCCACUUGAAAGGGGUAAACUGUGUUGAUUACUUCACAGGUGGUGAUAAGCCUUUCCUGAUAACUGGUUCUGAUGAUCACACUGCAAAGGUUUGGGACUACCAAACCAGAAGUUGUGUCCAGACACUAGAAGGCCACACCCACAAUGUUUCAGCUGUAUGUUUUCACCCUGAGCUUCCUAUUAUAAUUACUGGUUCUGAGGAUGGAACUGUUCGUAUAUGGCAUGCUACCACUUAUCGCCUGGAGAACACAUUGAAUUACGGUCUUGAACGAGUUUGGGCCAUUGGAUAUAUGAAAGGUUCACGCCGGGUGGUUAUUGGUUAUGAUGAAGGAACCAUUAUGGUAAAAAUUGGUCGAGAAGUACCUGUAGCUAGCAUGGACAACAGCGGGAAAAUCAUAUGGGCUAAGCAUAAUGAAAUCCAGACUGUAAACAUUAAGAGUGUUGGAGCAGAUUAUGAGGUUACCGAUGGAGAAAGAUUACCGUUGGCAGUGAAAGAAUUGGGGAACUGUGAUCUUUACCCACAGAGCUUAAAGCAUAACCCGAAUGGAAGGUUUGUUGUUGUUUGCGGAGAUGGUGAGUACAUCAUAUAUACAGCUCUGGCAUGGAGAAAUAGGUCAUUUGGUUCAGCAUUGGAAUUUGUUUGGUCAUCUGAUGGUGAAUAUGCUGUUAGAGAAAGUACCUCAAGGAUCAAAAUUUUCAGUAAGAAUUUCCAGGAAAAGAGAAGCAUCCGCCCUACAUUUUCUGCCGAGCAUAUAUUUGGGGGAACUUUACUAGCUAUGUGUUCAAAUGAUUUUAUUUGCUUUUAUGAUUGGGCUGAAUGCAGGCUGAUUAGGCGGAUUGAUGUUAAUGUCAAAAACCUGUACUGGGCUGAUAGUGGUGAUUUAGUGGCAAUAACCAGUGACACAUCAUUUUAUAUACUAAAGUAUAAUAGGGAUGUAGUUUCUUCGCAUUUAGAUAGUGGAAGACAAGUAGAUGAACAAGGUGUUGAGGAUGCUUUUGAGCUUCUUUAUGAAAUAAAUGAACGAGCCAGGACUGGCAUAUGGGUUGGGGAUUGUUUUAUUUAUAAUAACUCUUCCUGGAGACUUAAUUACUGUGUUGGGGGUGAGGUUACCACAAUGUUUCAUUUGGAUCGGCCAAUGUACUUGUUGGGAUAUUUAGCAAAUCAGAGUAGAGUGUAUCUAAUUGACAAAGAGUUCAAUGUUAUGGGGUAUACCUUACUCCUUAGCUUGAUAGAGUACAAGACUCUCGUGAUGCGUGGUGACCUGGAACGAGCCAAUGAAAUAUUGCCUUCAAUUUCUAAUGAGCACCACAAUAGUGUUGCUCAUUUCUUGGAAUCACGGGGAAUGAUAGAGGAUGCAUUGGAAGUGGCAACAGAUCCUGACUACAAGUUUGAGCUAGCCAUACAAUUGGGUAAACUAGAAGUUGCAAAGGAAAUUGCUGCAGCAGCACAGAGUGAAUCCAAAUGGAAGCAGCUGGGUGAAUUAGCGAUGUCCACUGGAAUGUUGGAGAUGGCAGAAGAUUGUUUAAAAAAUGCAAUGGACUUGAGUGGUUUAUUGCUACUUUACUCUUCUUUAGGAGAUGCAGAAGGGGUAUCAAAGCUUGCAUCUCUUGCCAAAGAGCAUGGAAAAAACAAUGUCGCUUUCCUGUGUCUGUUCUUGUUGGGUAAAGUGGAAGAGUGCCUACAGCUUUUGGUUGACAGCAAUCGGAUACCAGAGGCUGCUUUAAUGGCACGUUCUUAUCUUCCAAGCAACGUUCCAGAGAUAGUUGAAAUUUGGAAAAAGGACCUGCAUAAGGUUAAUCCAAAGGCUGCAGAAUCUUUGGCCGAUCCAAGAGAGUAUCCUAAUUUGUUCGAGGACUGGCAAGUUGGUCUUGCAAUUGAAUCAAAAGUUGCAGAGAAAAGGGGUGUUUUUCCUCCAGCAGAGGAGUAUGUAAAAUAUGCCUAUAGAUCACAAGUUAACCUUGUGGAUGCUUUCAGAGAUAUGCAAAUGGAUGAAAAUGUGCCACUUGAAAAUGGAGGCUUGAAUCAUGAGGUUGAAGAAUACAAUGGAGAGGAAGAGGCACAUGAUGGAGUGCAAGGAGAUGCAAGGGAUGAAGGGCAAGAAGAGGCUGUUGUGACUGAUGCUGACUCCACUGAUGGUGCAGUACUUGUUAAUGGUAAUGAGGCUGACGAAGAGUGGGGUACGAAUACUGAAGGAAAUCCAUCAGCCUAAAAGCAAUUGGUUGGACCAGUGUGAAAAUCCUAAUUUUGUCACUGUGCUUACACCAAAUUAUGAACACCAGUGAAGACUGUUGUCCCAGCUGUACCAAUCUUCUUUCUUAAGGCUUGAAUGAAAGAGAUGAUGUUUGUGGGACCCGUCGUCUCCACACUGCAGAACAGUGAUCUUUUUGUAGCACAUGGAAUUUUGUCAUGGGCAAAUAUCUUGGAACUUUUUUAUUUCUUUUUUAAACUACCAUUCACCAAAUUUCGCCCGUGUUAUGCCCUUUUAGUUGCGCCUGGGUUUUUUAUAACUUAAAUCUAUGAGGCAAUUUUGUUUCUUCGAAAUUUGUUUACAUGGCGUUUGAAUGUGUAGUAAGAAUGAAUUAUAGUGAUUAUGAAAAUGAUUACACGUUCAACCCCACCACCUCCACCUCCACCUCAAUUCUCAAUUUUGUACUUCUUUUCAUCUCUGUGAAGCCAAUAGAAGACUGAAGUGAGUCAUAGCUGCACAUCUAACACAAAAAGUGUUUCCCAGUUUUCAA